AGUAGCUGUCAUGGAUUCACGUGAAGCUAUAGCUAUAGGUCUAAAAGUAUCUUUCAGUCUUCCCCGUGAGAAUUAGAACUCAAAUCCCGCAACAACGUCGACCUAGAUUGUUUUCUAAGCUUUUGGUGGCUUACAGUUACCUUAACAUUUUUUAAUCCCAAAAUCCUUUUCUAUGUUGCCUUUUGAUGUUUCACGUUCUAAUUCAAUAAUACCAUGAUUCAUGAACUGAUUAUUUUAUCCCCCAUUUGCAUUUUGCAGGUGAAGCCGAAGGAGACAAGAGAAGAAAGAUGAUGCAGGAACGUGACAUGUUUUGUACAGAGGAGAGAUCAGAGAUGGCUUCGACUGAUUCAAAAGCAACUAAUACCAACUAGAUAUUAGGAUUUAGCAUGCAUAUCAUGGAAGGGUUGGAUGAUUAAUUCAAACAAUGGUAUUGGAUGAAUCAAGUAUUUGAAAUGUUAUUGAAUCUACUUCUCCUCAAGAGCCUGCAGUGCUUUUCGUUGCUUGCACCCACCAAAGCAGUAGCACUUGAACCCUGGAGGACAAUGAGAACCAUGCCAAAGCUAUAUCGACGUAUUGCUCUUGUCCUAUUCUUAUGCCCUUCAUUAUUGCUUUAGGUGAAAAGCAGCCGGACAAAAAAGAAUUUCUCAACUCAAAGAGAAACAGUACGUACUUGUUUGAUUCUCUUGUCCCACGUUUCAAUUCGAGCUAUAUAGUUGUACAAAGCCAACAGUUCCAAGCAUGUUGAAAGCAACAUCCCUAGUGCUCCACUCACCUUGGGUACUGCACUGUUUCUCUAGUAACAUCAACGAGAAGGAGCGUUAGGGCCUGCCCCAAAGUUCUUAAAGAAAUUUCUCACAAAUAUUACUAGUAUAUUAUAUGUAAGAAGAAGUAGAUCUUUCAAAUUUAUUUUCGACUUUGUCAAUCACUUUGAAUAGUUGACCUAUAUCACCACAGUUUG